ensembl:lncRNA
GUGAUCGCUGUCCUGAUAUCCAGAAGCUCUUAGUCUAAUCCGAGGUGAGUGAUCGCUGUCCUGAUAUCCAGAAGCUCUUAGUCUAAUCCGAGGUGAGUGAUCGCUGUCCUGAUAUCCAGAAGCUCUUAGUCUAAUCCGAGGUGAGGGAUCGCUGUCCUGAUAUCCAGAAGCUCUUUGUCUACUCCGAGGUGAGUGAUCGCUGUCCUGAUAUCCAGAAGCUCUUUGUCUAAUCCGAGGUGAGUGAUCGCUGUCCUGAUAUCCAGAAGCUCUUUGUCUAAUCCGAGGUGAGUGAUCGCUGUCCUGAUAUCCAGAAGCUCUUAGUCUAAUCCGAGGUGAGGGAUCGCUGUCCUGAUAUCCGGAAGCUCUUUGUCUAAUCCGAGGUGAGGGAUCGCUGUCCUGAUAUGCAGAAGCUCUUAGUAUAAUUCCACCGCCCCCUUCCACCGCCCCCUUCCACCGCUC